CAAGGAAUAGUCUAAAUUAGGAUCCUAG
rnacentral:tRNA from 1 species